AUUGAACGCUGGCGGCAGGCCUAACACAUGCAAGUCGAACGCGUGGCGGACGGGUGAGUAAUGUCUGGGACUCUGCCUGAUGGAGGGGGCUAACUACUGGAAACUGUAUCUAAUACCGCAUACUCUCUGAUGUGCCCAUAUGGGAUUAGCUAGUAGGUGGGGUAAAGGCUCACCUAGGCGACGAUCCCUAGCUGGUCUGAGAGGAUGACCAGCCACACUGGAACUGAGACACGGUCCAGACUCCGACGGGAGGCAGCAGUGGGGAAUAUUGCACAAUGGGCGCAAGCCUGAUGCAGCCAUGCCGCGUGUAUGAAGAAGGCCUUAGGGUUGUAAAGUACUUUCAGCGGGGAGGCGUUACCCGCAGAAGAAGCACCGGCUAACUCCGUGCCAGCAGCCGCGGUAAUUC
rnacentral:rRNA from 1 species